AAUGAACGUUGGCGGCGUGGAUUAGGCAUGCAAGUCGAGCGCGAACCCCGCAAGGGGGGAGAGCGGCAAACGGGGUAGUAACGGGUAGGUGACGUACCCUCGGGUUGGGGAUAGCCACGGGAAACUGUGGGUAAUACCCAAUAAUCUCCUGGAGCUUGAAGGCUUCGGGAGCAAAGGUGUGAUUCCACCGGAGGAGCGGCCUGCUUCGUAUUAGCUAGUUGGUGAGGUAACGGCUCACCAAGGCAUCGAUGCGUAGGGGGUGCGAGAGCAUGACCCCCACCACGGGGACUGAGAUACUGCCCAGACACCUACGGGUGGCUGCAGUCGAGAAUCUUCGGCAAUGGGCGCAAGCCUGACCGAGCGACGCCGCGUGUGGGAUGAAGGCCCUUGGGUUGUAAACCACUGUCAGAGGGGAUGAAGUGCCGGAGAGUAAUCUCUUUGGUUUGACAUAGCCUCAGAGGAAGCACGGGCUAAGUUCGUGCCAGCAGCCGCCGUAAGAC
rnacentral:rRNA from 1 species